rnacentral:rRNA from 1 species
GGAGUCUGGACCGUGUCUCAGUUCCAAUGUGGCCGUUCAUCCUCUCAGACCGGCUACUGAUCGUCGCCUUGGUGGGCCGUUACCCCACCAACUAGCUAAUCAGACGCAGACCCAUCACAAAGCGAUAGCUUACAAGUAGAGGCCAUCUUUAAUAUCAUCUCCAUGCGGAAAUAAUACAACAUUCGGUAUUAGCAGUCCUUUCGGACUGUUGUCCCCAUCUUUGCGGCAGGUUGUCUACGCGUUACUCACCCGUUUGCCACUCGACUUUCAAAGCAAGCUUUCAAUCGUCUCGUUCGACUUGCAUGUGUUAAGCACGCCGCCAGCGUUCGUCCUCGAGCCACGGAUCAAACUCU